rnacentral:misc_RNA from 1 species
AAGUCGUAACAAGGUAUCCGUAGGUGAACCUGCGGAUGGAUCAUUAAAACACGUGUUUUACACACGUUACCAACCAACCCGCGCGAGGAGUCUUGCUGACACUAAAAAAUCAGAGUCUUCACCGAUUCUGGCUUCAUCGUGUACAGCCGCCCUUAAAAAAGGCGGUCCGUCGGCUUGUGCUCCGUUUUUUACUCUUCUUUGCACACGGUGUUUCUUUUUACAAACCAUUAAACCCCUUUCAUUUUAUAAAAAUGACUUAACCUUUUUCAAUUCGAAAAGGACUUCACUACUAGGCUUUCGGGCCGAACGGAAGUUUCUGACUAGAUAUGAAAUCCUGUACAACUCUUAGCAACGGAUAUCUUGGUUCUC